CAGUAGCCACGGUAAUACAGAGGGUGCGAGCGUUAAUCGGAUUUACUGGGCGUAAAGCGUGCGUAGGCGGCUUUUUAAGUCGGAUGUGAAAUCCCUGAGCUUAACUUAGGAAUUGCAUUAGAUACUGGGAAGCUAGAGUAUGGGAGAGGAUGGUAGAAUUCCAGGUGUAGCGGUGAAAUGCGUAGAGAUCUGGAGGAAUACCGAUGGCGAAGGCAGCCAUCUGGCCUAAUACUGACGCUGAGGUACGAAAGCAUGGGGAGCAAACAGGAUUAGAUACCCCUGUAGUCCCUGUCUAUUAUAA
rnacentral:rRNA from 1 species